AUCUCAUUUUAGGGUGCCAGAGGUGACUACAUAUCUUUAUGCAAGCUUGCAUUUGUGUAUUAGUGUAACUCACACACACACAUAUAUGUUCCCAUUAAAAAAGGAUCUGCUCAAGCUAAAUAUUUGCAAUUGAAGUUUGGCGUGCUUAUCUAUUAAGACUGUAAUGAUAUUUUUGUAAGCCAGGUCUUACAAUGAGCGCUUGUCA
rnacentral:misc_RNA from 1 species